rnacentral:rRNA from 1 species
UUGGGCCAUAACCGCGGGGAAACUGCGGGGUAAUUCCCAGCGAUGUCGCGAGAUGGCAUCAUCUUGCGACCAAAGGUGUGAUUCCGCUCUAGGACGGGCCUUCGUGGUAUUAGGUAGUUGGUGAGGUAACGGGCUCACCAAGCCGACGAUGCCUACCGGGUGUGAGAGCAUGACCCGGCACACUUGGAACUGAGACACUGUCCAGACACCUACGGGUGGCUGCAGUCGAGAAUCUUCGGCAAUGGGCGAAAGCCUGACCGAGCGACGCCGCGUGAGGGAAGAAGGCCUUCGGGUUGUAAACCUCUUUCGUAGAGGAGGAAGGGGCCGUGCAGAGCGGUCUUUGACCUAUUCUAGGAAGAAGCUUGGGCUAAGUUCGUG